CACACUAGCGUCCUCCAUCUGUAGGCAGGUCACUGGGAGGGAGGGCGGGCAGGUAGCCUCAAAGUUAGCUCUGUGUCUUUAUUGUUGUCUUUCUGCCGUUCUGUCUUAAUUCAUGUACAUGAAGAAGAGGGGUGUUUGUGUGUAGUGGACUGGUGGCCUUUAACGUUGCAGUAGGGGCUUGCACAGGGACUCUUCCACUUGUCGCCAUCACUCAGACAAGCUGGGAAAGGAUGUACAGCCUGCUGUAUCUCUUGAACAUUCCCAACUAGAAACCAUGGCUGGAUUUUACGGCUGCUUGCAGGGAAAGAACAGUGACUGCAGUAUCAUGGCCUCUGGACCAUCAGAUGUGUUGACCAACCAGGAUCCAGCAGACACCACCGAAGAGUGCACAGGCAAGAAGAAGUCCAAGUUCCAGACCUUCAAGAACUUAUUUUCUAAGAAGAAGAGAAAGGAGGCCGCUGCUCCUGCCGGAGGGGACAGUGGGUUGAAGUGUAGCCAGUCUAGUGACAAUGUCAACGCCCCCGAACCUGCACUUCUCAUCCUCUCUGAGAAAGACGAGGGCUCUGGGUCAAAAAUAAAUAUGGGUAAUAAGGCUCUGUCACAUGACAGUGUCUUUGUCUCUGAAUCUCCUUUGUCAGAGGUGACUGGGGGUCUGGGAGUCUCUCAGGACAGCAUCCAUGGGAAAGUCAAGUCUCUACAGGUCAUCAGGCUAGGCUCUCCUCCGUCUCUGUGUGUGAAGAAGAUGGAUGACGCAGGGACUCUUUCAGAGGAUGACGGCCUGCCCUGCAGCCCACCAGAGUACUCCACCCUGCACACUGUCCUGGCUGGGGUGUCCCACAGGUCUUCCAAACCGGUGCAGAGGAACAGCUCCCUGAGUCUGGAAGGGACCGACAGUGAUGAAGACCAGAUGUCCUGUGAGACGGGCUCCAGAUCGGUCAGUCCCCUGGUCUUCCUGCCUGUAGACUUCAGCCAGCCUGCAAGUCCCAUGGGCUGCCUGGACAACACUGCCGCUCGCCACCGCCUGGCUGUCCGACACAAGGCCUGUGCCAAGACGAGGAAACCCACCACUAGGGUUGAUGGCAGGGCUGAGGGAGAAUCAAUCCAGGAGGAAAGACAGAAUUGUAUCAUUCCAGAAUCUGUGGAGGAGGAUGAUGAGGAAGAUGUGAAACGUGAGCAGGCUGGUGUUGCGGAGGAGGAGGAGCAGACAGAUGGGGUCGUGGUGUCCCAGCAGGCCGAGCGGUCAGCCCCAGAUGAAGAGGAUAAGCAGAGUGUCCAACAGGAAGUGUCUCAUGCUCAGGAUGCCCCCUCCCUCUCCAUACAGAAUGACUCUGACUCUGAGGAAUGUCUUUCAGGCCAGGCUGAGGUUCCAGCUCCCCGGCUCCAGACCGCCCCACUGCUUGGCUCCCUGAAGUCUCUAGAGCCCCCUGCUGGAGAUGACUUCCUCCUGGCCCCUCCUGGGUGUGAGGUGGCUGUGGAGGGAGGCUCUCUACUCCAGGAGGUGUUGAGCUCCCUCAAGGGUCCACUGACAUCUGUCCUGGGGCUGGAGACAGAGGCUGUGCUCCUGGAGGUGGAGGUGAAUAUGGAGGGGUCAGAGGCUGAGAGCGGGGUGGAUGAGCUGGCAUUGAACCCACAGGAAGAAGUGUGUCUCCCCAGUGAUGGACCGGACUGCUCAGCAGAGCCCCGAGAGGAGGUGGAGGGUGAGCCUUAUGAAUCUGAGGAGGAGUUAGUGGUGGAACAUUUCCAUCCAAAGGAGGAAGAGGAAGAUGCAGAGGAAAUCAACCCUGAGUACUUAACCAAAGAAGAUCAGGACAUGCCUUCAGUGGAAAAGGAGGAAGAGGAGAGGGAGGAGGGGGCAGAGGUAGAGGAGAAGGAAACAGAGGAGGUUGUGGAAGAUGAGAGGAGGGAAGAGGAGGACAAAAUGGAGCCAGUCUCAGAUGUGCCAGUGCAGACAGCCUUAUUGGAGCCAGGGGAGGAAAAUGAUGUAACGCCAACCUCUGUGGAGAAUGAUUUCCAGCAGGUUCCAGACAGAGACCCUGAGAGAGCUUGUGAGAGCCCUGAGUGCACCACUGAACUGUCUGACCAAACAGUCACAGACCAAGCCUGUCCCCCCCAGCUGCCAAACAGCAGUACACCUCCUCCAGAGUCCCUGGACAAGCCUGAGGCCCCUGCACACACCACACAGGACCAGGAAGAGCCUAGUGUAACAACUGACCAGCCCUGUAUAACCAGUCCCAGUGCAGCCGCCGGCCCAGAGCAGAGCCCCCAGGAGCACUGCAGGGGACCAACUGCCACCGAGGAUCCUGGGAAACCAUCUGGUGGUUCUGAACAUAAUAGACCCAGGUACACCAUUGCCCCUGCCUGGCAAAGGUUGGCUACCAAAGAGCUAACCUCCCCUUCUCCAUCUCCCUCGGUCACUGUGCCUGGGGCUGUGGAAGCAAAAAGAGACCCCCCAAGUGGAGUGGAGCCACUUAGCCCUGAUGUCCUUGCUAGUCCCAUCCCAACACAGAGCACCACAGCACCCAUCAUGUCACCUGAAGACACUCCCCCUGCAGCCCAGGAGGAAGAGACCCCUGAGAAUCUGUUUGGUGUCAGGCUGAGGAAGACCUCUGUGGGUAUGCUUCGCUUAGGCUCAGAGAGUGAAACUCCCCCUGCAUCCCCAGCACACUCACUUCCCAUAGAGCCACAGAGGGGCUCGUUCACUGAACCACAGCCAAACAGCAAACCUGCCCUGCCUAGAAAGCCCUCAGAGCUGGAUGGUAUGGUCAAGCCAAAGAGAAUACCAGAUCUGUCUGGGGGUCGAGAGCCUAGUGGGGGACCUGGUGGGGGAUCUCAAUCGCCAAGCUGGAUCUCAGUGGCCAGACAAAAGCAGAGGAUCUUAAAAGAGAACUCAUUGGAGGAAACCACGGAUAACAAAGUCCCUGCAGAGAUGGAGGAGCUUAACAGAAAAAAAAACAUUCGUACAUUGACAAGGCCUGUCAACAAAGACCAAGCCAAGCCUCCAGGAUCUCCUGUUAAAGUGUUGUGUUCCCUGGAGAUCUCCAAGCCUGUCGUGGUUGAGAAGGAAGGGAAGAGAGCCCUGGCUCACCCAGCCCCUACAGCCCUGGCUCAGGACGAGCCCCCGUGGUUGGCCCUUGCUAAGAAGAAGGCCAAAGCCUGGAGCGAGAUGCCCCAGAUAGUGCAGUGAAGAUGGGCCAGACCAUCCGUCCGCUGAUGGAUCAGAAUGCAUUUGCACACCCAGAGUUUUCAUUGAAGUUCAGGUCUGGAGACAUUUAAAAUGCUGCUGCUCUCCCAUAUCGAUCUCUUCUGUGUCCUUGUGGGACCAAGAAAGGAUGUUUGCAUGGAGUGGACACUUUGCAUUGGCAGCACACACUUCAGUGGACACUUUGCAUCUGCAACACAUGCUUCAGUGCUCUGGGAGUAUUUAUAGCCCUAAACAAGGGAACAGAUCAUUGGGACUCAGAUACCAUCUAGAUUCAGUGGCAGCGGAACUUAUAGUGAUAUCACUCUGCCCACCAGUGGAGUCCAGACUGAAGGCGCUGGGACGUAUUGCAGGUGCUGAGGGAGAAUUGAAGAGACAGUGACAUGGAACACUGACUGAACACCUACCUAAGAACCCACCCAGCUCCUGAUGUGGGCCACCAGGCUGAUAAAAAUACAGAGGUUGACAGAGAGACAGAGCUGCCAGGUGAAGGAUGGAAUCUGAGCAUCAACAAAUGCCAAAUAACUGUUUCAGCUCAGAGCAUUGGAGGACUUGCUGCUAGAUCCAUAUCGGUCCAGCAGAGCAUCGAGAUUAGUGCAACUGCGACUCUUCUCUCUCCUUCCCAUCGCAGGAUGACCACUAGCACACACAGCAGAGCUACUGCCACUCUGAGGAUGUUGUCCUUGUGGUUAGCUUUCUUCUACUAUAUGUUGGUGCUCAACCUCAUCUUCAAAAGGCUGUUAAGUGAGGGUUUCAUCAUCAUCGUCAUUGUUCGGCUGCAGAACUGUCACCCUCAAGCGUUCUCCAGUAUCUACGGUCACUGGCAAGGUUUGCUAUUUGAUGUGGAUGCAGCCAAGGUUGCAACGUAAACAUAAUACAAAAAUAGUAAAGGGGAAAACCCAAUAAAACAUGCUUGAGCAUUGCAAUAAAAAUAAACAAAUCUU